rnacentral:tRNA from 1 species
GCCAACGUCGCAUAACCUGGUAUUGCGCUCGCCUCGAAAGCGAGUUCCUACGGAAUUGCAGGUUCAAAUCCUGCCGUUGGCG